GUGUCAGCAGCCGCGGUAUUACGUAAGGAGCAAGCGUUGUCCGGAUUUAUUGGGUUUAAAGGGUGCGCAGGCGGAAGAUUAAGUCGGCGGUGAAAUUUUGCAGCUCAACUGUAAAAGUGCCAUCGAUACUGGUUUUCUUGAGUGUGGAUGAAGUAGGCGGAAUUUGUGGUGUAGCGGUGAAAUGCAUAGAUAUCACGAGGAACUCCGAUUGCGCAGGCAGCUUACUAGGCCAUAACUGACGCUCAGGCACGAAGGCGUGGGGAUCAAACAGGAUUAGAUACCCUGGUAGUCCACGCAGUAAACGAUGAUUACUCGCUGUUUGCGAUACAAUGUAAGCGGCUAAGCGAAAGCAUUAAGUAAUCCACCUGGGGAGUACGUUCGCAAGAAUGAAACUCAAAUAAAUUGACGG
rnacentral:rRNA from 1 species